rnacentral:tRNA from 1 species
AAUAGGGUGACUGAAAAUUAGGUGAUAAAUUGUAAAUUUAUUUAUGGCUAAUAUGCCUCCUAUUA